UGGGGAAUAUUGCACAAUGGGCGAAAGCCUGAUGCAGCAACGCCGCGUGCGGGAUGACGGCCUUCGGGUUGUAAACCGCUUUCAGCAGGGACGAAGGUUUUCUGACGGUACCUGCAGAAGAAGCACCGGCUAACUACGUGCCAGCAGCCGCGGUGAUACGUAGGGUGCGAGCGUUGUCCGGAAUUAUUGGGCGUAAAGAGCUUGUAGGCGGUCCGUUGCGUCGGAAGUGAAAACUCAGGGCUUAACCCUGAGCCUGCUUUCGAUACGGGCGGACUUGAGGGAUGUAGGGGAGAACGGAAUUCCUGGUGGAGCGGUGGAAUGCGCAGAUAUCAGGAGGAACACCAGUGGCGAAGGCGGUUCUCUGGACAUUUCCUGACGCUGAGAAGCGAAAGUGUGGGGAGCAAACAGGCUUAGAUACCCUGGUAGUCCACGCCGUAAACGGUGGGCACUAGGUGUGGGACCCAUUCCACGGGUUCCGUGCCGUAGCUAACGCAUUAAGUGCCCCGCCUGGGGAGUACGGCCGCAAGGCUAAAACUCAAAGGAAUUGACGGGGUCAUGAGCUGUUU
rnacentral:rRNA from 1 species